rnacentral:rRNA from 1 species
UACGAGUGCUCCAAGCGUUAUCCGGAAUUAUUGGGCGUAAAGGGUGUGUAGGCGGUCGUGUUAGUCUUCUGUUAAAUUCUUCGGCUUAACCGGGGGCAUGCAGAAGAAACGGCACAACUAGAGGAUGCGAGAGGUGAAUGGAACUCAUGGAGUAGGGGUGAAAUCCGUUGAUAUCAUGGGGAACACCAAAAGCGAAGGCAAUUCACUGGCGCACUCCUGACGCUGAAACACGAAAGCGUAGGUAGCGAAUGGG